rnacentral:rRNA from 2 species
AAAACGGGUGGUAAUGCCGGAUGCUCCAGUUGAUCGCAUGGUCUUCUGGGAAAGCUUUCGCGGUAUGGGAUGGGGUCGCGUCCUAUCAGCUUGACGGCGGGGUAACGGCCCACCGUGGCUUCGACGGGUAGCCGGCCUGAGAGGGCGACCGGCCACAUUGGGACUGAGAUACGGCCCAGACUCCUACGGGAGGCAGCAGUGGGGAAUAUUGCACAAUGGGCGCAAGCCUGAUGCAGCGACGCCGCGUGAGGGAUGGAGGCCUUCGGGUUGUAAACCUCUUUUAUCGGGGAGCAAGCGAGAGUGAGUUUACCCGUUGAAUAAGCACCGGCUAACUACGUGCCAGCAGCCGCGGUAAUACGUAGGGUGCAAGCGUUAUCCGGAAUUAUUGGGCGUAAAGGGCUCGUAGGCGGUUCGUCGCGUCCGGUGUGAAAGUCCAUCGCUUAACGGUGGAUCCGCGCCGGGUACGGGCGGGCUUGAGUGCGGUAGGGGAGACUGGAAUUCCCGGUGUAACGGUGGAAUGUGUAGAUAUCG